rnacentral:rRNA from 1 species
AUUGAACGCUGGCGGCAGGCUUAACACAUGCAAGUCGAGCGGAGAUGAGGUGCUUGCACCUUAUCUUAGCGGCGGACGGGUGAGUAAUGCUUAGGAAUCUGCCUAUUAGUGGGGGACAACAUUCCGAAAGGAAUGCUAAUACCGCAUACGCCCUACGGGGGAAAGCAGGGGAUCUUCGGACCUUGCGCUAAUAGAUGAGCCUAAAUCGGAUUAGCUAGUUGGUGGGGUAAAGGCCUACCAAGGCGACGAUCUGUAGCGGGUCUGAGAGGAUGAUCCGCAACACUGGGACUGAGACACGGUCCAGACUCCUACGGGAGGCAGCAGUGGGGAAUAUUGGACAAUGGGCGGAAGCCUGAUCCAGCCAUGCCGCGUGUGUGAAGAAGGCCUUUUGGUUGUAAAGCACUUUAAGCGAGGAGGAGGCUACCUGGAUUAAUACUCUAGGAUAGUGGACGUUACUCGCGGAAUAAGCACCGGCUAACUCUGUGCCAGCCGCCGCGGUAAAAC